rnacentral:rRNA from 1 species
GACGAACCGAGCGAACGUUGUUCGGAAUCACUGGGCUUAAAGGGCGCGUAGGCGGGCUGUCAAGUCUGGGGUGAAAUCCCGCGGCUCAACCGCGGAACUGCCUCAGAUACUGACGGUCUCGAGGGAGAUAGGGGCGAGCGGAACUGUGAGUGGAGCGGUGAAAUGCGUUGAUAUUCACAGGAACUCCGGUGGCGAAGGCGGCUCGCUGGAUCUCUUCUGACGCUGAGGCGCGAAAGCCAGGGGAGUAAACGGG